UAAAAGGUAAGCUAAAUAUAAGCUUAUGGGUUCAUACCCCAUCUAUAGGACUAACCUCCUUUUAA
rnacentral:tRNA from 1 species